UACAGAGGGGGCAAGCGUUGUUCGGAAUUACUGGGCGUAAAGCGUGCGUAGACGGUUAUUUAAGUCGGGUGUGAAAGCCCCGGGCUCAACCUGGGAAUUGCAUUCGAGACUGAAUAGCUAGGGUACGGUAGAGGGAAGUGGAAUUUCCGGUGUAGCGGUGAAAUGCGUAGAUAUCGGAAGGAACAUCAGUGGCGAAAGCGACUUCCUGGACCAGUACCGACGUCAGGCACGAAAGCGUGGGGAGCAAACAGG
rnacentral:rRNA from 1 species